AUUGAACGCUGGCGGCAGGCCUAACACAUGCAAGUCGAGCGGAGCGGCGGACGGGUGAGUAAUGCCUAGGAAUCUGCCUGGUAGCGGGGGAUAACGACCGGAAACGGGCGCUAAUACCGCAUACUAUCAGAUGAGCCUAGGUCGGAUUAGCUAGUUGGUGGGGUAAAGGCCUACCAAGGCGACGAUCCGUAACUGGUCUGAGAGGAUGAUCAGUCACACGGGAACUGAGACACGGUCCAGAUUCCUACGGGAGGCAGCAGUGGGGAUUAUUGGACAAUGGGCGAAAGCCUGAGCAAGCCAUGCCGGGUGUGUGAAGAAGGUCUUCGGUUUUUAAGGCACUUUAAGUUGGGAGGCGUUACCGACAUAGUAAGCACCGGCUAACUACGUGCCAGCCGCCGCGGUAAUAC
rnacentral:rRNA from 1 species